rnacentral:lncRNA from 1 species
GUUAACCAAAUGAGGUAUGAAACAGAAUACAUUUUGCGGAAUAUGUAAAUAAUCAGCACAUAGUAAAUUAAGGAGUCAGGGAUUUGAAAUUACUGAUUUGGAGAGAAUAACAAGGGUUUCCAUGAAUAAACAAAUAAACCACGUCAGAAAUAGAAGAAUUGUAAGUCUAAGGAAAGUUUUCAAAUAAACCCAAGAAAUAGGGAAAUCAGUAAGGAAAAACAAGAAAAGAGUCAAUCACUUAACACAUGAAUGCAAUCAAAAUUACACAAGGAGGUUUGAAGUCAGUUCAAAAUUGAAGGCCAAUUAAGAGGGAACUUCAGCAUAUAAAAGAGUGCAUAAGUAUCAGGAAUGCAACGCUGAAUUUAGGACAAAGAAAAUAGUCACAUAACAGUCACAUAGGUCGAUCUCACCAACUUAGUAAUAGAGAAAGGGGAGAGUAUCAGAAACAUACAAAAAUGUCAAGUAGAGAGCCUUUUUGAAUAUGUAGUCGAGUUUCAAUAAUAUCAGGAGAUCAAAAUCACAUAAAGCAACAGAAGUUGAAACAAAUAUUUUAAAACUCGAUCGAGCAGUAGAUGAAACAACUUCAGAUACUCGAAUAGGUCCAGAGAAAUUGGUGUUCUGAAACCAAACAAGUUCAGAAAUGAGAAACAAGAAAACCACAUAGCAAAUAGACUCAAAACUCGAAUGAACCCCAAAUUUCAGUGUUUUCCCCAUUAAUCGAGUGUAAAGAUGGAAGACAAGAGAAUUAGGCAAAAAUAUCAACAAAGAAAAUAAAAUCGGAAACCUUAAGAAAGAACUAAGACUUAUAAAGAAACAUGGUAGAAGAACAACAUAAGAAACACAGUGGAAGAACAACCUAAAUGAGAAGAACCUCGAAGGUUAGGGUUUCAUAAGAACCCAGUUGGUGGGAAAGGUUUGGAAAGUCAUUGAUCUAAGCAUCAGAAGUCACGCUCAGGCUUGCACAGCCAUGGCUGGCCGGAACAAGGUCGCAGACAUUCAUAUAACUCGAAUGAAACAAAGUCUGAGCCAAGCUUCUCCAAGGUAUAACCUUGAAACCAUAGUAAUCAGGCGUGUAGGAGUCAUAGGAGGCUGGUACAGGCCUUUAAUAGAUUUGGAAGCCAUGUAUUCAGGCGAUUUUAGGGUGGAAGCGGAGGGAGGCGACUAGGAUUUGAGGGGAGCUUGAGAGAGAAUUGGGAGGAGGGGGAAUUCAAG